UACGUAGGGUGCAAGCGUUGUCCGGAAUUAUUGGGCGUAAAGAGCUCGUAGGCGGUUUGUCGCGUCUGCUGUGAAAACGCGAGGCUCAACCUCGCGCCUGCAGUGGGUACGGGCAGACUGGAGUGCGGUAGGGGAGAUUGGAAUUCCUGGUGUAGCGGUGAAAUGCGCAGAUAUCAGGAGGAACACCGGUGGCGAAGGCGGGUCUCUGGGCCGUAACUGACGCUGAGGAGCGAAAGCAUGGGGAGCAAACAGG
rnacentral:rRNA from 1 species